rnacentral:rRNA from 1 species
CCUACGGGAGGCAGCAGUGGGGAAUAUUGGACAAUGGGGGGAACCCUGAUCCAGCCAUGCCGCGUGUGUGAAGAAGGCCCUCGGGUUGUAAAGCACUUUCAGUGAGGAAGAACGCCUGGUGGUUAAUACCCAUCAGGAAAGACAUCACUCACAGAAGAAGCACCGGCUAACUCCGUGCCAGCAGCCGCGGUAAUACGGAGGGUGCGAGCGUUAAUCGGAAUUACUGGGCGUAAAGCGCGCGUAGGUGGCUUGAUAAGCCGGUUGUGAAAGCCCCGGGCUCAACCUGGGAACGGCAUCCGGAACUGUCAAGCUAGAGUGCAGGAGAGGAAGGUAGAAUUCCCGGUGUAGCGGUGAAAUGCGUAGAGAUCGGGAGGAAUACCAGUGGCGAAGGCGGCCUUCUGGACUGACACUGACACUGAGGUGCGAAAGCGUGGGUAGCAAACAGGAUUAGAUACCCUUUAGUC